AGUAAUGUCUGGGAAACUGCCUGAUGGAGGGGGAUAACUACUGGAAACGGUAGCUAAUACCGCAUAAUGUCUGCGGACCAAAGCGGGGGACCUCCGGGCCUCGCGCCAUCAGAUGAACCCAUAUGGGAUUAGCUUGUAGGUGGGGUAAUGGCUCACCUAGGCGACGAUCCCUAGCUGGUCUGAGAGGAUGACCAGCCACACUGGAACUGAGACACGGUCCAG
rnacentral:rRNA from 1 species